ACGCUCUCCGACACAGGUUAAGACAGCAGAGAGCAAUGAGAUUUCUUUACAAAGCUGGGGAUAAUUCACAUGGAACCCAAUCAAGCCCACAUCAUGCCUACAUUGACCUCACUGUGCAAUGUUGUCUGUGGUGGCCAAAUGUUAUCAAUAUACGAUUGUUCAGCUGCUGUGAGACUCAAAGAUAAUAUUUACUGACGUAAUCUUGGGACGAGGAACUCAUAGAGACUGAGGGCAUCUGUCAGAGAUGAGAAGGCAAGUGGACAAGUACAGUCUGUUUUGUGGU